AUUUACAAUCAGAUGAAGAGAAUCUACUGCCCGGACUAACGGAAUGUCAUCAAUUGCGGAGCCUUAGUAUACAUGGUAAUCCAGUAUGCGAGGACUCCAAUGUUAGGUAUGUUAUAUUAUUAGUCUGAAUCCCUCAUAACAGCUCAACACUCUGUAAUAGGUUGGAAAGUCAAACUGAAUGUAAUUAUUUAAUGUUUUGUAGAUUUGGUAUAGUCAAAACUCUGCCAAAACUGAAAUUCUUAGAUGGAGAGAAACUGGAAAGUGGGAUGAAUAAGGAUAAUUCUACUGGCAAGACAAUUUUCUAUCCCAUCUG
rnacentral:lncRNA from 1 species